UAACUGUCAUUUUCAGUAACUUGCUUUAUACAAUUCCAAAUUCCAUAGACUUCUUAAAUCUCAAUAUUCAAUAUAUUAUAAUUCUUCCAAUUAUAUCCAUACUUCACAAACAUCUUUUAUUAUCAACUUUUCAAUCUUCUACUUAUAAUUCAGCACACAAUAAAUUCAAUUUCUCAUUUGGGAUCAUCUAAAUCAUUUUUUUUUAUUUUUUAUUUUUAUUUUAGAAUUUUACUUCACAUUAUUCAAAUUCUAAUUAUUACUCUUUUUCUAUAAGAAAACAAAAAAACAAAGAAGUAGCACCAAGCUUACUCUGACUAAUGACUAUCACAUUCUGGCCCUUUCUACUUCUUCUUCAAACUACUUCUGCUUUCCUUGAAAUGCCAACCACUACACAACCAAUGAUAAUUACCUUUUCUGACUACAUCAUCUAUCUUGCUUUCUAAACUAUCCAUUCAUCAAUCUACUAGCUUCUCUUAAUUCUACAUAUUAUGUAUUAUAAAACAAAAAAUAUCCUAUCCAUUCUAUAUUGCCCCACUCUUAACUGUACAACAUCAUCACAAACAUGGAAUUGGUAAAAACAAACUUCUUCAACAGAACCCUUACAAAGUUUUUUAUCCUCUAGCUCGCUGGAUUGAACAAUUCUAACAUUCUCCAUAGAUGGUUCCAUUGAUUCUGAAUC
rnacentral:lncRNA from 1 species